GUGCACAAGCAACCAAAAACAAAUACAAAGUAGCAGCAAAAGCAAAUGUCUUACAGUGGCCAAAAAAAUGCGCCCACAAAGAUACAAAGAAAACCCCUCAUACAUACACAAUAAACACCAAAUGUGCUGCACAAAAAACCACCCAUUACACAGCCUACAGUCAGCACACUCAAACCUGCCAACACAUCACAACAUCCAUAACACAGCCUACAAUUAGCACCAACAGCAAAGCCACACAGCUUAGCCGAAGCUCCUCCACCCCUUUGUUCACUUACCUCUUAAGGCAAUCCUCCUGAUCCCAACACCAUUCAUAAUAAAGACAAGGAGACGUUUUAAGCCCGUGUAAAUUCUAAAUCCAAGAGAGGACUUUGACUUCCUCUACCAAUUCGUCAUCUAACUUUAUUAAACACCUUAUCAUUCCGCACGCGCCACAAAACCUAGAUAGCCGCAUGCUAAAUUAACCUAGAAACCCUUUUGCAACGCCUUUCCUCUCGCUUCCCUCAUCAAACACUCAAA
rnacentral:lncRNA from 1 species